rnacentral:miRNA from 1 species
ACUUUUCUAUCCCUGGUACUGG